rnacentral:rRNA from 1 species
UACGGAGGGUGCGAGCGUUUUUCGGAAUCACUGGGCGUAAAGCGCAUGUAGGCGGUCUUUUAAGUUCGGUGUGAAAGCCCGGGGCUCACCCCCGGAAGUGCAUCGGAUACUGGGGGACUCGAGUACCGGAGAGGAGGGUGGAAUUCCUGGUGUAGCGGUGAAAUGCGUAGAUAUCAGGAGGAACACCGGUGGCGAAGGCGGCCCUCUGGACGGAUACUGACGCUGAGACGCGAAAGCGUGGGGAGCAAACAGG